rnacentral:rRNA from 1 species
GAGAAUCUGCCUAAUGGACUGGGACAACCACUGGAAACGGUGGCUAAUACCAGAUAUGCAAUAAGUGAAAAGGUUUAUUCCGCCAUUAGAUGAGCUCGCGUCAGAUUAGCUAGUUGGUGAGGUAACGGCUUACCAAGGCAACGAUCUGUAGCUGGUCUGAGAGGACGACCAGCCACACUGGGACUGAGACACGGCCCAGACUCCUACGGGAGGCAGCAGUGAGGAAUUUUCCGCAAUGGGCGCAAGCCUGACGGAGUAAUACCGCGUGCGGGAGGAAGGUCUAUUGACUGUAAACCGCUUUUAUUAAGAAAGAAUUCUGACGGUACUUAAUGAAUAAGCCUCGGCUAACUCCGUGCCAGCAGCCGCGGUAAUACGGAGGAGGCAAGCGUUAUCCGGAAUUAUUGGGCGUAAAGCGUCCGUAGGUGGUUUUGCAAGUCGGCUGUCAAAGCACAGGGCUUAACCCUGUUAAGGCAGUGGAAACUACAAGACUGGAGUGCAGUAGGGGCAGAGGGAAUUCCCAGUGUAGCGGUGAAAUGCGUAGAGAUUGGGAAGAACACCCGUGGCGAAAGCGCUCUGCUGGACUGCAACUGACAUUGAGGGACGAAAGCUAGGGGAGCGAAUGGGAUUAGAUAGA